rnacentral:rRNA from 1 species
UGGGGAAUUUUGGACAAUGGGCGAAAGCCUGAUCCAGCAAUGCCGCGUGUGUGAAGAAGGCCUUCGGGUUGUAAAGCACUUUUGUCCGGAAAGAAAUGGCUCUGGUUAAUACCUGGGGUCGAUGACGGUACCGGAAGAAUAAGGACCGGCUAACUACGUGCCAGCAGCCGCGGUAAUACGUAGGGUCCAAGCGUUAAUCGGAAUUACUGGGCGUAAAGCGUGCGCAGGCGGUUGUGCAAGACCGAUGUGAAAUCCCCGAGCUUAACUUGGGAAUUGCAUUGGUGACUGCACGGCUAGAGUGUGUCAGAGGGGGGUAGAAUUCCACGUGUAGCAGUGAAAUGCGUAGAGAUGUGGAGGAAUACCGAUGGCGAAGGCAGCCCCCUGGGAUAACACUGACGCUCAUGCACGAAAGCGUGGGGAGCAAACAGGAUUAGAUACCCCUGGUAGUCCACGCCCCUAAAACGAUGUCAACUAGUUGUUGGGGGAUUCAUUUUCCUUAGUAACGUAGCUAACGCGUGAAGUUGACCGCCUGGGGAGUACGGUCGCAAGAUUAAAA